GUCGGGAAAAGCCGCUUUGCCCGAGGGCCGUGGAGUGCGCCGGCCUUUCCCUCGGAAUUCAGGUGUCCUUGUGUAAAUUCGCAUUUCGGGUUCCUCUUUCAGCUCGAGCCUCUGUUUACCUUUAUUCUGGAACCUUUGCAGAGGUGGAGUCCAUGCCGUGCAGAGGCGUUUCACACUGCAGUUGGAUAGCAGUGGCAGUUUGGAGCUUGGAAAAAUAGGAUGGGUUUUGGUAACGCCUCUCAAGGGUGCUGAGAGUUUUUACUCUGGUUUUGGAAUAUCGUUUGUGAUGAGAAAUUAGGUUCUUUUCAGAGGCACUUCAGUAGUUCAACUGUAUGAUUUCGUUGACUUCAUGGCUGAAAUAGUUAUGCAUAUUUUUAAUGUACCAAGAGCUACAAUUAAUCUCUGUUCUGCAGUCAUACAUAUUGGUGAAAUUUUAACUCUUUCAAAAUCAAUGGCAAAGCUCUGUCUUCAGUGGGGCAAGGACUCACAGAAUCUGAAAAGGAGGUGAUUGAAAAGGAAAAUGGGAAGUCAGAGGCAGAUUGUACUUAUGCUGAGAAGCGUGGACAGACUCACCCUAUACACAACAGACAGAAGAUAGAGACUGGGAAAAUAGCUGAUUGUGAGUUUAUCUGUCUUUUCAGGCAGAGGGCCCGGAAAGUGAAUUUUGGAAAAGGGAGAGAGAAAGACCUAAAUUCUGAGAAUCUGUGGAUACGUUUGGCUGGAAGAUGAGUAUGAGAAGCCUGAGAAAUGGACAUGGUAGUAUUUCACAGAAAAAUGAGGUAAUGGGAUCACCCUUGUUCCAGUUGAUGCAUGCUCAUGAUCUGGACCCCACAGCUCAAGCAAGACUGAGGGACAAAUCUUGUCAGGCAAUGUGGUAAGAAGCUGGAUCAUCUUUCUUCAUCUGCUCACUGCCCUCACAGAAUUUGAAAGUGUGACGAAGUAUUUCAUUCCUUUACAGGAUUAGGGAUACGGAUUUGCCUGUCAUGGAGGUGCUGCUGGCUGGGUCACUGCCUGGUAGAGGGUGUCUCUUAGACCUGAUGUAACCUGAAGCAUGUGCUUUCUUAGGAGGUCUACAGCUGGGCUGGAGAACUGCAAAUGUUCAUCCUUUCACUUCUGUCAUCUGCUUCCACAUGACUGCAGUGUCUGUGCUGUGCUCUCAGCUCACUCACCCUAAAAUGCUCCUUGCGAUGGUUUGUACUGAGCUGCUACAGAGCAGACUUUGCUUUUGGUGGCAGUAUCCCUUGUUGUGUCAUCUAUAGAAAAGAUUACUUCAUCCUGGCCUUUAUUCCACUGGGACCAGCUGCUCUACACACAGCAACCAAAAGUGGCAAAUACCUAUAACCUCUUUCAAUUUCCUAUUGAAGGUCUACAUCACAUGAACUUCUUGGGGUUUUUCGAGAGGUAAAGCUUUUUUAUUUUUUACAAACAAACAAAAAAAACCAAAAACCCCCAAAACCACAAACCAGAAACCAACCUAAAACCAACAAAACCAAAACCUACCAAAAAAAAAAAUAAAAAUCAAACCCCACACAUUAAACCCAAGUUGGAGAAACAGCUGCAUCAUGUGACUGAUACAGAGCAUGGGAGUACAAAGCAUUCCCACUCUGGUCUUGCACAUCCAGUCAUUGUGCCUAUUAAUAGCUGUUAGGCAUGAGUGUAGACAUGGAGAUGGGCAGGACUAGUUUUGCCAUGUGAACAUUUAUCUGGUAGCCUCAUCCUAUUUGCUAGAACCAGAGAUUUCACUGUGAUAAAGUGGACAUCUUAAGUCAUUGUUGGAGACAGGAGGAUGUAGGUUCACUUAAACUAAGCUGGUAUUAGGCAUUCUCAUAUCUUGGAGUAUUCCAGUAAAUAGCAAUUUAUAUAAGCAAUGGAAAUAUGUCCUUCUUAAUCUGUAAAAAGAAAAGGACAGCCUUAAUGAUCUCUCAGUGUUUCAAAUCAUCUUAAGGCAAAUUGAUCCUGAAUCAUCACAGAAAAAUUCAGCAGAGGUGUUUCUAUUAGUGAUCUAGGAAUUUAGAUGUGGUUGGAUACAUGGAAAACUGUAUCUUGUUCAGUUGUAUUUAUUACUGUAAUAAAUGAUACCAACUCUCUCUUCCUA